rnacentral:rRNA from 1 species
CACGGAGGAUGCGAGCGUUAUCCGGAUUUAUUGGGCUUAAAGGGUGCGUAGGCGGGAUGCCAAGUCAGCGGUAAAAAUGCGGUGCUCAACGCCGUCGAGCCGUUGAAACUGGCGUUCUUGAGUGGGCGAGAAGUAUGCGGAAUGCGUGGUGUAGCGGUGAAAUGCAUAGAUAUCACGCAGAACUCCGAUUGCGAAGGCAGCAUACCGGCGCCCUACUGACGCUGAGGCACGAAAGCGUGGGUAUCGAACAGG